rnacentral:misc_RNA from 1 species
GAUGAAGAACGCAGCGAAAUGCGAUAAGUAAUGUGAAUUGCAGAAUUCAGUGAAUCAUCGAAUCUUUGAACGCACAUUGCGCCCAUUAGUAUUCUAGUGGGCAUGCCUGUUCGAGCGUCAUUAUAACCCCUCAAGCUCAGCUUGGUGUUGGGGCCUGCUGCACUGGCAGCCCUUAAAAUCAGUGGCGGCGCCAUCUGGCUCUAAGCGUAGUAAUUCUUCUCGCUAUGGAGUCCUGGUGGAUGCUUGCCAUCAACCCCCAAUUUUUCUAUGGUUGACCUCGGAUCAGGUAGGGAUACCCGCUGAACUUAAGCAUAUCAAUAAGCGGAGGA